UAGUGUUUCAAUCAUAGUUAUUCAAUCAGUUUAUUUGCAUCUGUAUGCACAAUAGAACUGCGCAUUUCCAAAGUUCUAGAAAGAUAAUUGAAUGAAAGAGCAUCCAUGAUUGAAAUAUACUAACCACUGUAGAAGCUAGAAUAAAAUAGUUGUUGGAAUUUUUCGUCAAAAAUUUGAUACUUUUUGCAAUGUAAUCAAUUGAAAAGAACUAAAAAUUCUGGGGUAAAUAGUCAGGUAAAUAAUUAUAUACAAAAGCUGCGGAUUGAUAGGAGACAACUACUCG